UAAGUCUGACGGACACGCCGCGUGAGUGAUGAAGGCUUUCUGGGUCGUAAAACUCUGUUGUUAGGGAAGAACAAGUGCUAGUUGAAUAAGCUGGCACCUUGACGGUACCUAACCAGAAAGCCACGGCUAACUACGUGCCAGCAGCCGCGGUAAUACGUAGGUGGCAAGCGUUAUCCGGAAUUAUUGGGCGUAAAGCGCGCGCAGGUGGUUUCUUAAGUCUGAUGUGAAAGCCCACGGCUCAACCGUGGAGGGUCAUUGGAAACUGGGAGACUUGAGUGCAGAAGAGGAAAGUGGAAUUCCAUGUGUAGCGGUGAAAUGCGUAGAGAUAUGGAGGAACACCAGUGGCGAAGGCGACUUUCUGGUCUGUAACUGACACUGAGGCGCGAAAGCGUGGGGAGCAAACAGGAUUAGAUACCCUGGUAGUCCACGCCGUAAACGAUGAGUGCUAAGUGUUAGAGGGUUUCCGCCCUUUAGUGCUGAAGUUAACGCAUUAAGCACUCCGCCUGGGGAGAA
rnacentral:rRNA from 1 species